CUUUGGGAUAACCCUCGGAAACGGGGGCUAAUACCGGAUAUGACCUUUCACCGCAUGGUGGGGGGUGGAAAGUUUUUUCGGCCUGGGAUGGGCUCGCGGCCUAUCAGCUUGUUGGUGGGGUGAUGGCCUACCAAGGCGGUGACGGGUAGCCGGCCUGAGAGGGCGACCGGCCACACUGGGACUGAGACACGGCCCAGACUCCUACGGGAGGCAGCAGUGGGGAAUAUUGCACAAUGGGCGGAAGCCUGAUGCAGCGACGCCGUGUGAGGGAUGACGGCCUUCGGGUUGUAAACCUCUUUCAGCAGGGACGAAGCGUGAGUGACGGUACCUGCAGAAGAAGCGCCGGCCAACUACGUGCCAGCAGCCGCGGUAAGACGUAGGGCGCGAGCGUUGUCCGGAUUUAUUGGGCGUAAAGAGCUCGUAGGCGGUUUGUCGCGUCGUCUGUGAAAACCCGCAGCUCAACUGCGGGCAUGCAGGCGAUACGGGCAGGCUAGAGUUCGGUAGGGGAGACUGGAAUUCCUGGUGUAGCGGUGAAAUGCGCAGAUAUCAGGAGGAACACCGGUGGCGAAGGCGGGUCUCUGGGCCGAUACUGACGCUGAGGAGCGAAAGCGUGGGGAGCGAACAGGAUUAGAUACCCUGGUAGUCCACGCUGUAAACGUUGGGCGC
rnacentral:rRNA from 1 species